UGGGGAAUUUUGGACAAUGGGCGAAAGCCUGAUCCAGCAAUGCCGCGUGUGUGAAGAAGGCCUUCGGGUUGUAAAGCACUUUUGUCCGGAAAGAAAUCCUUGGCUCUAAUACAGUCGGGGGAUGACGGUACCGGAAGAAUAAGCACCGGCUAACUACGUGCCAGCAGCCGCGGUAAUACGUAGGGUGCAAGCGUUAAUCGGAAUUACUGGGCGUAAAGCGUGCGCAGGCGGUUUGCUAAGACCGAUGUGAAAUCCCCGGGCUCAACCUGGGAACUGCAUUGGUGACUGGCAGGCUAGAGUAUGGCAGAGGGGGGUAGAAUUCCACGUGUAGCAGUGAAAUGCGUAGAGAUGUGGAGGAAUACCGAUGGCGAAGGCAGCCCCCUGGGCCAAUACUGACGCUCAUGCACGAAAGCGUGGGGAGCAAAACAGGAUUAGAUACCCUGGUAGUCCACGCCCUAAACGAUGUCAACUAGUUGUGGGGAUUCAUUCCUUAGUAACGUAGCUAACGCGUGAAGUUGACCGCCUGGGGAGUACGGUCGCAAGAUUAAAACUUAAAUGAAUUGACGGGGUCAUA
rnacentral:rRNA from 1 species